rnacentral:rRNA from 1 species
UGGCUCAGAACGAACGCUGGCGGCAGGCUUAACACAUGCAAGUCGAGCGGGCGUAGCAAUACGUCAGCGGCAGACGGGUGAGUAACGCGUGGGAACGUACCUUUUGGUUCGGAACAACCCAGGGAAACUUGGGCUAAUACCGGAUAAGCCCUUACGGGGAAAGAUUUAUCGCCGAAAGAUCGGCCCGCGUCUGAUUAGCUAGUUGGUGAGGUAAUGGCUCAGCAAGACGACGAUCAGUAGCUGGUCUGAGAGGAUGAUCAGCCACAUUUCCCCUGAGACACGGACCAAACUCCUACG